rnacentral:rRNA from 1 species
UACGGAGGGUGCGAGCGUUAAUCGGAAUUACUGGGCGUAAAGCGCGCGUAGGUGGCCUGCUAAGCAGGAUGUGAAAGCCCUGGGCUCAACCUGGGAACUGCAUCCUGAACUGGCAAGCUAGAGUAUAGUAGAGGAUAGUGGAAUUUCUGGUGUAGCGGUGAAAUGCGUAGAUAUCAGAAGGAACAUCAGUGGCGAAGGCGACUGUCUGGACUAAUACUGACACUGAGGUGCGAAAGCGUGGGGAGCAAACAGG